AGUGGUUCUGCCCAUGGUUUUUAAAGGGCUGCGGUAUAUUAACUGUACAAAGGUAGCAAAAUAAAUAGUUUUUUAAUUGAAAACUUGAAUGAAAGAGUUGAUAAAAUAUAAAUUGUUUCAAAUAUUUAAUUUAAAUUGAAAGUUAAAAUGCUUUUAUAUUUUUAUUAGACGAUAAGACCCUAAGAAUUUGAUUUUUUAAUUUAUUUUUAUAAAUUUAAUUAAAUUAAAUUAUUUUAUUGGGAGGAUAAUAAAAUUAAACUUUUAUUUAUUUAAAUAUUAAUAAAUAAAUUUAAUGAUUAUUAUUAAGAUUAUUAGAAUAAAUUACCUUAGGGAUAACAGCGUUAUAAUUUUGGAGAGUUCUUAUUGAUAAAAUUGUUUGCGACCUCGAUGUUGAAUUAAAAUAAAAUUUAAAUGAAAAAAUUUAAAAUUUUAGUCUGUUCGACUAUUAAAAUUUUAC
rnacentral:rRNA from 1 species